rnacentral:lncRNA from 1 species
UGCACUUAGAUAGUUUGGAAUGCAAAACUCAGUAGCAUGAAGUUGAUGAUGAUAAGAGAUAUGAUGCAAGACAGGUAUGUAAAAGGGAGCACACUUUAGUUGUUUACCCUGAGUUCGGCCUCAUUCGAGGUACCUACAUCUCAGGGGGUAGGCAAGCUACCAAUCCACUAGAUAAAGAGGUUACAAGCUUUGUCUCUCACCCUCUCAUGUGAAUACAAAGCUAUCUCUCAAACCCCUGUUUCCCCUCUCUCUAGUUUCUCUACUACCAAGCAAUUAUGUGCUUGUAGUACUCUCAGCCUAGGUGUUUAUACACUCUAAAGCUCCUGGUGCUUUCGCACCCUUUGGUGCUCUUCUUCAGCGGCACACACAACUCUGACCUGUUCUCUUUACUUUUAUACUGCUGGAGCCUUAACCUAAAGCAACAACUAACCAUAGGUAGAGUUAACCCUUGCUACCAUAACUUGAGUUAAGCUUUGGUUCCUUUUGUCUCCUGCUCCUUUAACCCUUCACGCAAAGCAGUAACUAGCCAGCAUGCUUUCUUUGUCUUAUCUGAGACAAGCCUGCAAACGUACGAACUCAUACGUAACGGAGAGAGAGAGAUCACGUGAGUUAAGGGUUUAAGCUUAUCCUUGAAACCCUCUUUGUCCAUCCAAGGCUCUUGCUCCUCUUUUCAAAUGAAACUCUCUUCAACUCAUACUGAAGCUCCAUCUGAUUAAUAACAUGUCUUGGAUUCAAACUAACUCCACAAAUCUCCACCUUGGUUUGAAUGCCAACCAGAACUUGGUUCUCAACCUUGCAUCCUUGGAUGUAUCUUCUCCGGUUACACUUCUUAUGAAGUUGUAUCCUGCUGACACUGACUCGUGUCCCCCUUAGAAUCAACUGUGAUCUUUAACCAUCUGGUCUUCACCUAGACUCACAGUAUACUUCAUUACUUGCUUCUGGAACUGUCCUGCGUCUGUCUCUGCAACAACCAUUCUCAGCCUUCUUGAUACUUCAGCUUCUUUUACACAUGAGAGACUAACUGUCUCUUGUGUCUCUGUUUUCUGCUGCUAUGUGUUCUUACUUGCAAUGAUCUCAUACAAGAAGAUUAGCUAAGUCUUCUGACUUGAUCAUCUCAAUCUGAAACACAAACCUUGUAUCUGUGCUGUCACCCUUUCUUGUUGUUGAUAAACAAAACUUCCAAGUUGCUUCUCUUCAGUCUUCGUGUAACUCACUUCAAACUUCCGUUCUCUUAGUUGAGUACCCACAAGACAUCCUAUAACAACCACAGAACACUCCCAAGCCAAACUGGUUUCUUUCAUGGAUUUGAAAUGCUUCCCACAACACUGAACUUGAACCAUUUCCUUGUAAACCCCAUGAUAAAGAAAUUCUCUUGUUCUUCCAGCCUUAGAAGUAACUCCACCUGAGCUGUAUACUCUUGGAAUAACCCACCUGAACCUUUCAAGAACCAUUCUCUCAUGUCUUUGCUUGAGAAAACCGAACUGUUUCUCUUAACCAGUCGUCACUAACUUCCAACCACAAAGUCUUCCCUGUUUCACUUCUGUUAAAGCCACAAAACCAGCUUUAACACAACAGAGUUCUCCACAAGCUCCAUCGGACGUUUCACUCUAAUCUGAGCUUGAGUUCCGUCCGUCUUCUCAAGACAAUUAAUACCCACGAGCCUCAACUUCACAGUAAACAACUUCCUUUCUGCUCAUACUCUUGAAGAAACCAUAUUGCAGAACUCAACCAACUGACAUCUCUGAAGCAACCCAGACAGCUUCUAAACAAGACUGAAACACUCCACCAUGUCUCUGCGAACUUCACUGAGCUGAACAUCCAUUCACCAUUACUGUGAUCAGCAUAAAACCCUCAUGUAAUAGGCUGACUGAAUAGCUUCCAUGUUGUACUGGAUAUCAGUCCCAACAUACCAUUCUUCAUCUUGUAGCCACUCCAGUUUAUCUCUUGUACUAGAAGAUAAACAACACUUCUUUGCUUGCAGUUAAUAAACCUAAGCUUCACUCACUUAGAUACAAAUCUCCAAAUUCCGCAUCCACAACAACUGGUUUGAUAUAACCACGGACCAUCAUAUCCUUCAGCAAUCUUCUUUUCAUUUGACUUGAAGUCUUACACCCAUUCUGAUUGUAGAAAACCUUAAGACUGAUUUCUUCAUCAAUCUCCACCUCAGACCUGAAAUCAAAAGAACUUCUGACCUCUUCUUCAGCAAUACCGACAUAUACCAAAUGUGUACCGUCGUUUGGACAAAACCAUCAGUUUGAACAAACAAGACACGCCGUCUAACACUCAAUAUCAGAAAGACUUUCGACACACUGAUAUGGCACAUCCCUUUGCUGAUAAUACUGAGAAACCUCCACACCAGAUAUGUAACCUCCACUGCAAUUCACGUAAUCACUGAAUAAGAAUGAUUUUGUUUCUUCAAUCUUCUCACAAACUCCAUCUUUUCCAUGUUGCAGAAACUUUGAACCAGAUAUGUUAUCCACUGAGAACUCCAACUUGUGUCUGACCCGACACAAAUCUGAAAAACCAACAAAUCGAGUAAGUCACCUCCGAUCUCAGAUUUCUCUUCUUCUGUUGACUGUUGCAAGAAAACAACUCAUCUCCACACUUAGAAGCUUCGUCACUUUCUUCCCGUAACAUCUGAAAUCUGAGCUACGAAGCUCCCACCGAACCGUUCUGAAUUUUCUGUAUCUUCUUCUUCACCGAGGAAAACCAGAAAAGAAAGAACUUUACUUUGACUUGGGCUAAGACAUAGCUUGGCCCAACUGUUGCUUCUGAAACUUCAGGCCCAAAUAAACAAUACAAGCCCAUCUGGAACUGAAACCCAAAACCUUCUCUGCUGCCUUUGUCGAUGCCGACGACGGCUUCACCUUCCUCGACCACCGUUACCGUUAUACCUUCAGGUGAACCUGACAACUGUCUCAGCACUUGAAUCUUGCUACUUGAGAAACCUCAGCAAGACGUCACCCUCCUUCGUCUUUCACCCAACAGUGAAGACAAUACGUAGACGUACUUCUGGUGAGAUUCUCUGCAACUUCCGGCGAGUACUUUGUCGUCGAGUCUGUGUCAUCCGAGUCAACCUGAGAUAGCCACUGAUGCUGCAACAUCUCCACCUCUGACUCAUCUUUCCCACUUGUGAAAUCCACAGAGAGUUUAUACUUUCAAAUGAUUUCACCAUCUCCGACGAGAACCACUUCGCUUCCGCCUUCUGGUCUCAAAAGCUUCUCAAAGCCAUACUCUUCCAGAGAUAUCUUGAGGUAAAGCUUUCACCUUCUUACAAAGCUUACAACUUUCUCACAAAUCUCUGCUGCAUCUUCCGAAAGCUUCCACCUUUACAUAAAGCUUGAACCUUAACGACCAAACUUGACUUCUUUCUUUGCCAACCUAGGCUCUGAUACCAAUCUGUUGAGAUCUAUGCCUCUACACAGACAUCAAGUUACCAUUUGUUCAAACACUUAUGCACUUAGAUAGUUUGGAAUGCAAAACUCAGUAGCAUGAAGUUGAUGAUGAUAAGAGAUAUGAUGCAAGACAGGUAUGUAAAAGGGAGCACACUUUAGUUGUUUACCCUGAGUUCGGCCUCAUUCGAGGUACCUACAUCUCAGGGGGUAGGCAAGCUACCAAUCCACUAGAUAAAGAGGUUACAAGCUUUGUCUCUCACCCUCUCAUGUGAAUACAAAGCUAUCUCUCAAACCCCUGUUUCCCCUCUCUCUAGUUUCUCUACUACCAAGCAAUUAUGUGCUUGUAGUACUCUCAGCCUAGGUGUUUAUACACUCUAAAGCUCCUGGUGCUUUCGCACCCUUUGGUGCUCUUCUUCAGCGGCACACACAACUCUGACCUGUUCUCUUUACUUUUAUACUGCUGGAGCCUUAACCUAAAGCAACAACUAACCAUAGGUAGAGUUAACCCUUGCUACCAUAACUUGAGUUAAGCUUUGGUUCCUUUUGUCUCCUGCUCCUUUAACCCUUCACGCAAAGCAGUAACUAGCCAGCAUGCUUUCUUUGUCUUAUCUGAGACAAGCCUGCAAACGUACGAACUCAUACGUAACGGAGAGAGAGAGAUCACGUGAGUUAAGGGUUUAAGCUUAUCCUUGAAACCCUCUUUGUCCAUCCAAGGCUCUUGCUCCUCUUUUCAAAUGAAACUCUCUUCAACUCAUACUGAAGCUCCAUCUGAUUAAUAACAUGUCUUGGAUUCAAACUAACU